rnacentral:rRNA from 1 species
CCCCAGUAGCGGCGAGCGAACGGGGAGCAGCCCAGAGUCUGAAUCAGCUUGUGUGUUAGUGGAACGGUCUGGAAAGUCCGACGGUACAGGGUGAUAGUCCCGUACACCAAAAUGCACAGGCUGUGAACUCGAAGAGUAGGGCGGGACACGUGGUAUCCUGUCUGAAUAUGGGGGGACCAUCCUCCAAGGCUAAAUACUCCUGACUGACCGAUAGUGAACCAGUACCGUGAGGGAAAGGCGA